rnacentral:rRNA from 1 species
GUUAAGGCAGAUGCUCACAGCCGGAUAUCUCGAGCGUGCCAUCGUUACCGUUCCUCAUGGUACGUCAUUCGGGCACAGCUUUCAGUACAAUAUCCGGGGUGAUCUUCAAGAUACCUUUUUUACUGCACUGGUGUGUGGGGAGUUUGAUCCAGUCAGUAUCGACAACCUCGAUGACUAAACAACUUUUUGAUUUGAAAUGAGCUCUUUAAAUGUAUCAAAUAUCAGGACAUUUUAUCAGAACCAAGCAUCUUUUACUUUAUUUAGAAAAUGGUUCAAGAAACUUUUAAUUUUUUCUCUUUAUGCCAUCAUUGUUUAUAUAAAAAAGGCUAAAAAAAUUUAUUUUUAUAGUGAGAACCCCUGCAAGAUUCCAGGUAGGCAAUCCCGCACAACAUUAGUGCGAGAAAAGCACAAAUUGCCUACCUCACAGGCGGAUUGACUAAAACAAACUUCUUUUGGGGCCAGAAGUAUUCUUCCAAGGGUGUUCUCGUUGAUCAAGUUCAAAAGUUAGAGGUUCAAAGGCGAGCCGGACACGGCCCUAAGUUUUCUAACCAUAAACGAUGUUGACUAGCCAUCCGAUAAAGGUUCUUUUUAUGCCUUAUCGGGCAGCUUCCGGGAAACCAAAGUUUUGGAAUUCCGGGGGAAGUAUGGUUGCAAAGCUGAAACUUAAAGGAAUUGACGGAAGGGCACCACCAGGAGUGGAGCCUGCGGCUUAAUUAGACUCAACACGGGAAACCUCACCAGGCCCGGACACUGGAAGGAUUGACAGAUUGAGAGCUCUUUCUUGAUUCAGUGGGUGGUGGUGCAUGGCCGUUCUUAGUUGGUGGAGCGAUUUGUCUGCUUAAUUGCGAUAACGAACGAGACUCUAGCCUGCUAACUAGUCGUUUCCGGCUUCCUUUGUUGCAGCCGGCGAAGACAAAUCUUCUUAGAGGGACAGGCGGCUUCUAGCCGCACGAGAUUGAGCAAUAACAGGUCUGUGAUGCCCUUAGAUGUUCUGGGCCGCACGCGCGCUACAAUGAAGGUAUCAGCGUGUCCUCCCUGGCCGAAAGGUCCGGGUAACCCGCUGAAACACCUUCGUGCUUGGGAUUGGGGCUUGAAAUUGUUCCCCAUGAACGAGGAAUUCCCAGUAAAGGCGUGUCAUUAGCACGCCUUGAUUACGUCCCUGCCCUUUGUACACACCGCCCGUCGCUACUACC